rnacentral:rRNA from 1 species
AUUGAACGCUGGCGGAAUGCUUUACACAUGCAAGUCGAGCGGCAGCGCGGGGCAACCUGGCGGCGAGCGGCGAACGGGUGAGUAAUACAUCGGAACGUACCCAGUUGUGGGGGAUAGCUCGGCGAAAGCCGGAUUAAUACCGCAUACGACCUGAGGGUGAAAGGGGGGGAUCGCAAGACCUCUCGCAGUUGGAGCGGCCGAUGGCGGAUUAGCUAGUUGGUAGGGUAAAGGCCUACCAAGGCGACGAUCCGUAGCGGGUCUGAGAGGACGACCCACCACAGUGGAAAUGAGACACGGUCCAGACUCCUACGGGAGGCAGCAGUGGGGAAUUUUGGACAAUGGGAGCAACCCUGAUCCAGCCAUUCCGCGUGAGUGAAGAAGGCCUUCGGGUUGUAAAGCUCUUUCGGCAGGAACGAAACGGUCCUUUCUAACAAAGAGGGCUAAUGACGGUACCUGAAGAAGAAGCACCGGCUAACUACGUGCCAGCCGCCGCCGUAAUAC